CAGCAGCCGCGGGAACACAGAGGGUGCGAGCGUUAAUUGGAUUUACUGGGCGUAAAGCGUGCGUAGGCGGCUUUUUAAGUCGGAUGUGAAAUCCCUGAGCUUAACUUAGGAAUUGCAUUCGAUACUGGGAAGCUAGAGUAUGGGAGAGGAUGGUAGAAUUCCAGGUGUAGCGGUGAAAUGCGUAGAGAUCUGGAGGAAUACCGAUGGCGAAGGCAGCCAUCUGGCCUAAUACUGACGCUGAGGUACGAAAGCAUGGGGAGCAAACAGGAUUAGAUACCCGAGUAGUCCCUGUCUCUUAUAC
rnacentral:rRNA from 1 species